rnacentral:rRNA from 1 species
GACGAACGCUGGCGGCGUGCUUAACACAUGCAAGUCGAACGGAAAGGCCAUGCUUUUGUGGGGUGCUCGAGUGGCGAACGGGUGAGUAACACGUGAGUAACCUGCCCUUGACUUUGGGAUAACUUCAGGAAACUGGGGCUAAUACCGGAUAGGAGCUCCUGCUGCAUGGUGGGGGUUGGAAAGUUUCGGCGGUUGGGGAUGGACUCGCGGCUUAUCAGCUUGUUGGUGGGGUAGUGGCUGACCAAGGGUUUGACGGAUAGCCGGCCUGAGAGGGUGACCGGCGACCAUGGGACUGCGGUACGCAGCAGUCUGCUACGGGAGGCAGCAGUGGGGAAUAUGGCACAAUGGGCGGACGCCUGAUGCAGCAACGCCGCGUGCGGAAUGCCGGCCUUCGGGUUGUAAACCGAUUUCGCCUGUGACGAAGCGUGAGUGACGGUAAUGGGUAAAGAAGCACCGGCUAACUACGUG